AGAGUUUGAUCCUGGCUCAGAACGAACGCUGGCGGCGUGCCUAACACAUGCAAGUCGCGCGAGAAAAGGGGGGCAACUCCCUGAGUAAAGCGGCGAACGGGUGAGUAACACGUAGGUAACCUACCCUCGAGCCUGGGAUAACCUACCGAAAGGUGGGCUAAUACCGGAUAUGACCACGGGAGUUGCGGCUCCUGCGGUGAAAGGUGGCCUCUGCUUGCAAGCUACCACUCAUGGAUGGGCCUGCGCGCCAUUAGCUAGUUGGUGAGGUAAUGGCUCACCAAGGCGAUGAUGGCUAGCUGGUCUGAGAGGAUGGCCAGCCACACUGGGACUGAAACACGGCCCAGACUCCUACGGGAGGCAGCAGUGGGGGAUAUUGCGCAAUGGGCGAAAGCCUGACGCAGCGACGCCGCGUGGGUGAUGAAGGCCUUCGGGUCGUAAAGCCCUGUCGAGGGGAAAGAAACGGUUCCGACCCAACACGUCGGGACCCUGACGGUACCCCUAAAGGAAGCACCGGCUAACUCCGUGCCAGCAGCCGCGGUAAUACGGAGGGUGCGAGCGUUGUUCGGAAUCACUGGGCGUAAAGGGCGUGUAGGCGGUCUGUUAAGUCUGAUGUGAAAGCCCGGGGCUCACCCCCGGAAGUGCAUUGGAUACUGGCGGACUCGAGUCCCGGAGAGGAGGGUGGAAUUCCUGGUGUAGCGGUGAAAUGCGUAGAUGUCAGGAGGAACACCGGUGGCGAAGGCGGCCCUCUGGACGGUGACUGACGCUGAGACGCGAAAGCGUGGGGAGCAGACAGGAUUAGAUACCCUGGUAGUCCACGCUGUAAACGAUGAGCACUAGGUGUCGUGGGUAUUGACCCCCGCGGUGCCGCAGCUAACGCAUU
rnacentral:rRNA from 1 species